AGAGUUUGAUCAUGGCUCAGGACGAACGCUGGCGGCGUGCUUAACACAUGCAAGUCGAACGGUGAACUCCAGCUUGCUGGGGGGAUCAGUGGCGAACGGGUGAGUAACACGUGAGCAACCUGCCCUUCACUCUGGGAUAAGCCUUGGAAACGGGGUCUAAUACCGGAUAUGAGGCGCUCGGGCAUCCGAAGCGUCUGGAAAGAUUUAUCGGUAAUGGAUGGGCUCGCGGCCUAUCAGCUUGUUGGUGGGGUAGUGGCCUACCAAGGCGACGACGGGUAGCCGGCCUGAGAGGGCGACCGGCCACACUGGGACUGAGACACGGCCCAGACUCCUACGGGAGGCAGCAGUGGGGAAUAUUGCACAAUGGGCGCAAGCCUGAUGCAGCGACGCCGCGUGAGGGAUGAAGGCCUUCGGGUUGUAAACCUCUUUCAGCACGGAAGAAACGCAAGUGACGGUACCUGCAGAAGAAGCGCCGGCUAACUACGUGCCAGCAGCCGCGGUAAUAC
rnacentral:rRNA from 1 species